rnacentral:rRNA from 1 species
CAGGACGAACGCUGGCGGCGUGCCUAACACAUGCAAGUCGAGCGAGGAGAUUCCUCGGGAUGAUCCUAGCGGCGGACGGGUGAGUAACACGUGGGCAACCUGCCUCAUAGAGAGGAAUAGCCUUCCGAAAGGGAGAUUAAUACCUCAUAACAUUGCAGUUUCGCAUGGAACAGCAAUUAAAGGAGCAAUCCACUAUGAGAUGGGCCCGCGGCGCAUUAGCUAGUUGGUGAGGUAACGGCUCACCAAGGCGACGAUGCGUAGCCGACCUGAGAGGGUGAUCGGCCACAUUGGGACUGAGACACGGCCCAGACUCCUACGGGAGGCAGCAGUGGGGAAUAUUGCACAAUGGGGGAAACCCUGAUGCCAGCAACGCCGCGUGAGUGAUGACGGCCUUCGGGUUGUAAAGCUCUGUCUUCAGGGACGAUAAUGACGGUACCUGAGGAGGAAGCCACGGCUAACUACGUGCCAGCCGCCGC